CCCCUUGCAGGAUGGCACCGGGAGAGUUGCCAGUACUCUACCAGUCUCAACUAUGGGAGGGAGAGUCAAGCAGAGGCAUACCCAUUCCAUUCCUAGCUUGAGCAGUGGCUAGAGAGUGGAAGGCAAUCUGCCACAAGU
rnacentral:snoRNA from 2 species